GAUGAAGAACGUAGCGAAAUGCGAUAAGUAAUGUGAAUUGCAGAAUUCAGUGAAUCAUCGAAUCUUUGAACGCACCUUGCACCCUUUGGCAUUCCGAAGGGUAUGCUCGUUUGAGUGUCAUUGUACUCUCACACUUCCAAUUCUUUGGAUUGGGAGCGGUGGACUUGGGUGCUGCUGCUUACCGUGGCUCACCUCAAAUGUGUUAGUGCAACCGUUGGUUAGACAUAGUACAGCGUGAUAAGUAUCUUCGCUGGCGCCUCACUCGAGGGUGGCUGAUCAGGGCUCUGCGCUCCCAAUCGUCUUCGGACAAUCACUGACAACUUGGCCUCAAAUCGAGUAGGACUACCCGCUGAACUUAAGCAUAUCAAUAAGCGGAGGA
rnacentral:misc_RNA from 1 species